AUUGAACGCUGGCGGCAUGCCUUACACAUGCAAGUCGAACGGUAACAGGUCUUCGGAUGCUGACGAGUGGCGAACGGGUGAGUAAUACAUCGGAACGUGCCCGAUCGUGGGGUAUAACGAGGCGAAAGCUUUGCUAAUACCGCAUACGAUCUACGGAUGAAAUCGGGGGAUCUUCUGACCUCGCUCGGACGGAGCGGCCGAUGGCAGAUUAGGUAGUUGGUGGGAUAAAAGCUUACCAAGCCGACGAUCUGUAGCUGGUCUGAGAGGAUGAUCAGCCACACUGGGACUGAGACACGGCCCAGACUCCUACGGGAGGCAGCAGUGGGGAAUUUUGGACAAUGGGCGAAAGCCUGAUCCAGCCAUGCCGCGUGCAGGAUGAAGGCCUUCGGGUUGUAAACUGCUUUUGUACGGAACGAAAAGCCUCUUUCUAAUAAAGAGGGGUCAUGACGGUACCGUAAGAAUAAGCACCGGCUAACUACGUG
rnacentral:rRNA from 1 species